GAUGAACGCUGGCGGCGUGCCUAAUACAUGCAAGUCGAGCGAACAGAUGAGGAGCUUGCUCCUCUGACGUUAGCGGCGGACGGGUGAGUAACACGUGGAUAACCUACCUAUAAGACUGGGAUAACUUCGGGAAACCGGAGCUAAUACCGGAUAAUAUAUUGAACCGCAUGGUUCAAUAGUGAAAGACGGUUUUGCUGUCACUUAUAGAUGGAUCCGCGCCGCAUUAGCUAGUUGGUAAGGUAACGGCUUACCAAGGCAACGAUGCGUAGCCGACCUGAGAGGGUGAUCGGCCACACUGGAACUGAGACACGGUCCAGACUCCACGGGAGGCAGCAGUAGGGAAUCUUCCGCAAUGGGCGAAAGCCUGACGGAGCAACGCCGCGUGAGUGAUGAAGGUCUUCGGAUCGUAAAACUCUGUUAUUAGGGAAGAACAAAUGUGUAAGUAACUAUGCACGUCUUGACGGUACCUAAUCAGAAAGCCACGGCUAACUACGUG
rnacentral:rRNA from 1 species